GCCUGGAUAGCUCGUUGGUUAGAGCGUGGUGCUGAUAACUCCGAGGUUGCAGGUUCGAUCCCUGUAUGAGACA